rnacentral:rRNA from 1 species
ACCUACGGGGGGCAGCAGUGAGGAAUAUUGGUCAAUGGCCGCAGGGCUGAACCAGCCAAGUCGCGUGAGGGAUGACGGUCCUAUGGAUUGUAAACCUCUUUUGUCAGGGAGCAAAGGGCGCCACGUGUGGCGUUUUGCGAGUACCUGAAGAAAAAGCAUCGGCUAACUCCGUGCCAGCAGCCGCGGUAAUACGGAGGAUGCGAGCGUUAUCCGGAUUUAUUGGGUUUAAAGGGUGCGCAGGCGGAAUGUCAAGUCAGCGGUGAAAGUUUGUGGCUCAACCAUAAAAUUGCCGUUGAAACUGGAAG